GACUAAAUUGGAAAUUUAUUUUGUAAUAAGGAUUGAAAGUAUAAUGUUAUUUUUAUGGGGAUUUAAUGGAAAUUUGUGAGCUUGGUAUUUUUGUAAAUAAAUAUGUCGGUCAGGGGUAUUUUUGUAAUUGUGUAUUUUCAAUAAUUCGGAUUUGGCCCAAAUUAAUUAGUUAAGGGCUUAAUUGAAAAGCUAAAGGAAAGUUUGGGGGUUAAAUUGGAAUUUUGAUGGAUGGAAUUGUAAGUUAUUAAGAAAGUUGAGGAACUACAUUGUAAUAAGGAAAAGUUUGGGGGCCUAAUGUCGAUAUUGAAAGGAAAGAAAAUCGGGGAAGAAGAAAGGAAGAGAGAGAG
rnacentral:lncRNA from 1 species